GGACGCUAUUUGUUGGAGGUAUUAUCAUGACUCAUGGGGAUGACCUUGGCUUAAUGCUUCCACCUAGGUUGGCACCUGUACAGGUUGUGAUUGCCCCAAUAUGGAAGAAAGCGAUGACAGAACUGGAGUUCUUAAUGCUACAUCAUCAGUGAAAGAAACUCUGCAAGCAGCUGGAAUAAAGGUCAAGGUCGAUGACUCUGAUCAGAGAACACCUGGAUGGAAAUACAACUUUUGGAAGAUCAAG